rnacentral:rRNA from 1 species
AGGUCAAGCUAAUAAGGGCUAACGGUGGAUACCUAGGCACACGGAAGCGAAGAAGGACGUAGUUACCGACGAAACGCUUCGGGGAGCGGGAAGCAAGCAUUGAUCCGAAGAUAUCCGAAUGGGGCAACCCUAAACACGACCACCUGAAUACAUAGGGUGGAGCGAGCCAACCUGGUGAACUGAAACAUCUUAGUAGCCAGAGGAAAAGAAAGCAACAGCGAUUCCCCCAGUAGCGGCGAGCGAAAAGGGAACAGCCUAAACCAAGUUCUUCGGAACUUGGGGUCGUGGGACAGUAACAAAAGACUGGGAAAUUUAGACGAAGCGGCUGAAAACCGCACCAGAGAAGGUGAAAGUCCUGUAGUCGAAAAAGGAACCAGCUUAACUGCAUCCCGAGUAGCAUGGGGCACGUGAAAUCCCGUGUGAAUCUGCCUCGACCACGAGGUAAGGCUAAAUAUUCCCGUGUGACCGAUAGAGAAACAGUACCGCGAGGGAAAGGUGAAAAGAACCCCGGAAGGGGAGUGAAAUAGAACAUGAAACCGUUAGCCUACAAGCAAUGGGAGGACGAUUGAACGUCUGACCGUGUGCCUGUUGAAGAAUGAGCCGGCGACUUACAGGUUAUGGCAGGUGAAGGGGAAGACCCCACAGCCCCAGCGAAAGCGAGUCUGAACAGGGCGAAAAGUCAUAAUUUGUAGACCCGAACCCGGGUGAUCUAACCAUGGCCAGGAUGAAGCUUGGGUAAAACCAAGUGGAGGUCCGAACCGACUAAUGUUGAAAAAUUAGCGGAUGAGCUGUGGUUAGGGGUGAAAUGCCAAUCGAACUCGGAGCUAGCUGGUUCUCCCCGAAAUGUGUUGAGGCGCAGCGGUAGUGGAAGUUUAGUCGGGGUAAAGCACUGUUUCGCCGCGGGCUGGGAGACCGGUACCAAGGCGAGGCAAACUCUGAAUACGGCUAAAAAAACUACCAGUGAGACGGUGGGGGAUAAGCUUCAUCGUCAAGAGGGAAACAGCCCAGACCACCAGCUAAGGUCCCCAAAUGAUAACUAAGUGAGAAAGGAGGUGGGAGUGCAUUGACAACCAGGAGGUUUGCCUAGAAGCAGCAAUCCUUAAAAGAGUGCGUAAUAGCUCACUGGUCAAGCGCUCCUGCGCCGAAAAUGAACGGGGCUAAGUUAUCUACCGAAGCUGUGGACUACAUUGUAGUGGUAGGGGAGCGUUCUAUAGGGGGUGAAGCAGUAGCGGCAAGCAGCUGUGGACUCUAUAGAAGUGAGAAUGUCGGCUUAAGUAGCGAAAAUGUGGGUGAGAAUCCCACACCCCGAAACCCCAAGGUUUCCUCCGCAAGGCUCGUCCGCGGAGGGUCAGUCAGGACCUAAGGCGAGGCUGAAAAGCGUAGUCGAUGGACAACGGGUUAACAUUCCCGUACCGAUUAAUGAUUGUGCCGGAGAACGGAGAAGGUCAACGUCAGCUGGAUGUUGGUUACCAGUGCAAGCAGUCGAGGCGAUGAGAGGUGGUGAAAACACCAGGAGCUAAGACGCGAGUCCCACCUCCCACGGGAGGGAAGUGGCGCUGAUCAAGCUUCCUAGAAAAGCCCGAACCACGUUAAUCAUUAAUUGCCUGUACCCGAAACCGACACAGGUGGGGAAGUAGAGAAUACUAAGGGGCGCGAGAUAACUCUCUCUAAGGAACUCGGCAAAAUGACCCCGUAACUUCGGGAGAAGGGGUACCCUCGCAAGAGGGUCGCAGUGAAUAGGCCCAGGCGACUGUUUACCAAAAACACAGGUCUCCGCCAAGUCGUAAGACGCAGUAUGGAGGCUGACGCCUGCCCAGUGCCGGAAGGUUAAGGAAGUUGGUCAGGAGUAAUCUGAAGCUGACGACCGAAGCCCCGGUGAACGGCGGCCGUAACUAUAACGGUCCUAAGGUAGCGAAAUUCCUUGUCGGGUAAGUUCCGACCCGCACGAAAGGCGUAACGAUCUGGGCACUGUCUCGGAGAGAGACUCGGCGAAAUAGGAUUGUCUGUGAAGAUACGGACUACCUGCACCUGGACAGAAAGACCCUAUGAAGCUUUACUGUAGCCUGGAAUUGGCUUCGGGCUUCGCUUGCGCAGGAUAGGUGGGAAGCUUUGAAACUCUCCUCGUGGGGAGAGUGGAGCUAACGGUGAGAUACCACUCUGGCGAGGCUAGAAUUCUAACCCUGACCCCUAAUCGGGGCGGGAGACAGUUUCAGGUGGGCAGUUUGACUGGGGCGGUCGCCUCCUAAAAGGUAACGGAGGCGCGCAAAGGUUCCCUCGGUCCCGUUGGAAAUGGGACGAUAGAGUGCAAAAGCAGAAGGGAGCUUGACUGUGAGACCCACAAGUCGAACAGGGACGAAAGUCGGCUUUAGUGAUCCGACGGCACCGCGUGGAAGGGCCGUCGCUCAACGGAUAAAAGUUACUCUAGGGAUAACAGGCUGAUCUCCCCCAAGAGUUCACAUCGACGGGGAGGUUUGGCACCUCGAUGUCGGCUCAUCGCAACCUGGGGCUGAAGUCGGUCCCAAGGGUUGGGCUGUUCGCCCAUUAAAGCGGUACGUGAGCUGGGUUCAGAACGUCGUGAGACAGUUCGGUCCAUAUCCGGUGUAGGCGUAAGAGCAUUGCGAGGAGCCUUCCUUAGUACGAGAGGACCGGGAAGGACGCACCGCUGGUGUACCUGUUAUCGUGCCAACGGUAAACGCAGGGUAGCCAUGUGCGGAGCGGAUAACCGCUGAAAGCAUCUAAGUGGGAAGCCCACCUCCAGAUGAUUGCUCUCAUGGCAUUAAGCCAGUAAGGUCUCGGGUAGACUACCCGUUGAUAGGCUCUAGAUGGAAGCUCGGUAACGAGUGCAGUCGAGGAGUACUAACCGACCGAGGGCUUGACCUG